UAGUUUAAGGAAAUAAUCUUAAAUGUAUUCUGCCCAAUGAUUUUUAUUAAAUGGCCGCAGUACCUUGACUGUGCUAAGGUAGCAUAAUCAAUUGGCUUCUAAUUAAAGUCUGGAAUGAAAGGAAAAAUGAAGUAAUUCUGUCUUAAAAAAUUUUUUUUAAAUUUAUUUAAAUGAUGAAAAUAUCAUUUUUUAGAAAAAAGACGAGAAGACCCUUAGAGUUUUUAUUAUUUUUUUUGUUGGGGCGACAAGUAAACAAUUUAAACUUUACAUUUUUUUUAAAUCGAUUUAAUAAUAAGAUUAAUUAAACUACCUUAGGGAUAACAGCAUUAUAUUAUAUAUUGAUUGUGACCUCGAUGUUGGACUAAGGAACUUUAUGGCUAGCCGUCAUAAAAGAUUUGUUCUGUUCGAACAAUUUUAUCCUAC
rnacentral:rRNA from 1 species